UACGGGGGGGGCAAGCGUUGUUCGGAAUUACUGGGCGUAAAGGGCUCGUAGGUGGCCAACUAAGUCGGACGUGAAAUCCCUCGGCUUAACCGGGGAACUGCAUCCGAUACUGGAUGGCUUGAGUUCGGGAGAGGGAUGCGGAAUUCCAGGUGUAGCGGUGAAAUGCGUAGAUAUCUGGAGGAACACCGGUGGCGAAGGCGGCAUCCUGGACCGACACUGACGCUGAGGAGCGAAAGCCAGGGGAGCAAACGGG
rnacentral:rRNA from 1 species